rnacentral:sRNA from 1 species
AGUUAUAUUGGGAGUUGAGAUGCACGAUUCAUUUGAAUUUUGCACUCCCUAAAAAGGGUAAAGGUUAGAUUGUAUGAUAAAACUAAUAGCAACAGAAAUAGGAAUAAAGUGGAUAAUACAAUAAAAGUUCUAAAUAGCUUGAAACAAAGGGACUAGGAGUUUGAGUGGGAAUUUUAAUACUCUAGGGUAAUUUUAUGUAGAGUGUUUGAAAAUAAUAACGUUAAAAAGUUAGUAAUCGUUAAAGAAUUUAAAAUAAAUUGUAAUAGUUUAUCGCUUGUUUUAUCGCUUGAAGAACGAGCGAUAAAUU